GGCGCACGGGUGAGUAACGCGUAGAUAAUCUGCCUGAUGAUCUGGAAUAACACUUCGAAAGGAGUGCUAAUACCGGAUAAGCCCACGAUGACCUUGGUCAUUGCGGGAAAAGGGGGGGACCAUUUGGCCUUCUGUCAUCAGAUGAGUCUGCGUACCAUUAGCUAGUUGGUAGGGUAAUGGCCUACCAAGGCGACGAUGGUUAGCUGGUCUGAGAGGAUGAUCAGCCACACUGGAACUGAGACACGGUCCAGACUCCUACGGGAGGCAGCAGUGGGGAAUUUUGCGCAAUGGCCGAAAGCCUGACGCAGCAACGCCGCGUGAGUGAUGAAGGCUUUCGGGUCGUAAAGCUCUGUCAGGGGGAAAGAAGUGUAAUGUGGUUAACACCCAUGUUACUUGACGGUACCCCCAAAGGAAGCACCGGCUAACUCCGUGCCAGCAGCCGCGGUAAUACGGAGGGUGCGAGCGUUGUUCGGAUUUAUUGGGCGUAAAGCGCGUGUAGGCGGUUUGUUAAGUCUGAUGUGAAAGCCCUGGGCUCAACCUGGGAAGUGCAUUGGAUACUGGCAGACUUGAAUAC
rnacentral:rRNA from 1 species